CCAGACUCCUACGGGAGGCAGCAGUGGGGAAUAUUGCACAAUGGGCGAAAGCCUGAUGCAGCAACGCCGCGUGAAGGAAGAAGGGUUUCGGCUCGUAAACUUCUAUCAACAGGGACGAAAGAAAUGACGGUACCUGAAUAAGAAGCCCCGGCUAACUACGUGCCAGCAGCCGCGGUAAUACGUAGGGGGCAAGCGUUAUCCGGAAUUACUGGGUGUAAAGGGUGAGUAGGCGGCAUGGUAAGCCAGAUGUGAAAGCCUUGGGCUUAACCCGAGGAUUGCAUUUGGAACUAUCAAGCUAGAGUACAGGAGAGGAAAGCGGAAUUCCUAGUGUAGCGGUGAAAUGCGUAGAUAUUAGGAAGAACACCAGUGGCGAAGGCGGCUUUCUGGACUGAAACUGACGCUGAGGCACGAAAGCGUGGGGAGCGAACAGGAUUAGAUACCCCAGUA
rnacentral:rRNA from 1 species